AACGGCCAUACCAUGCUGAAUAUACCGGUUCUCGUUCGAUCACCGAAGUCAAGUCAUUCGAGGGUGGGUGGGAAAGGGGCACCUGAGCCAAAGAGAGCUUUUAUCCCCAGCAGCAUUGGACGCGGUCAUUACUUGGGUGGGUGACCACCUGGGAACACCGCGUGCCGUU